CACGUAGGGCGCAAGCGUUGUCCGGAAUUAUUGGGCGUAAGAGCUCGUAGCGGUUUGUCGCGUCUGCCGUGAAAGUCCGGGCUCAACUCCGGAUACUGCGGUGGGUACGGGCAGACUAGAGUGAUGUAGGGGAGACUGGAAUUCCUGGUGUAGCGGUGAAAUGCGCAGAUAUCAGGAGGAACACCGAUGGCGAAGGCAGGUCUCUGGGCCAUUAACUGACGCUGAGGAGCGAAAGCAUGGGGAGCGAACAGG
rnacentral:rRNA from 1 species